rnacentral:rRNA from 1 species
CCUACGGGGGGCAGCAAUAGGGAAUAUUGCUCAAUGGGGGAAACCCUGAAGCAGCAACGCCGCGUGGAGGAUGAAGGUUUUCGGAUUGUAAACUCCUUUUGUUAGAGAAGAUAAUGACGGUAUCUAACGAAUAAGCACCGGCUAACUCCGUGCCAGCAGCCGCGGUAAUACGGAGGGUGCAAGCGUUACUCGGAAUCACUGGGCGUAAAGAGCGCGUAGGCGGGAUAGCAAGUCAGAUGUGAAAGCCUAUGGCUUAACCAUAGAACUGCAUUUGAAACUGUGAUUCUAGAGUAUGGGAGAGGUAGGUAGAAUUCUUGGUGUAGGGGUAAAAUGCGUAGAGAUCAAGAGGAAUACUCAUUGCGAAGGCGACCUGCUAGAACAUAACUGACGCUGAUGCGCGAAAGCGUGGGGAGCAAACAGGAUUAGAUACCCGUGUAGUC